rnacentral:rRNA from 1 species
GACGAACGCUCGCGGCGUGCUUAACACAUGCAAGUCGAACGCUGAAGACCUGGCUUUUGUUGGGUUGGAUGAGUGGCGAACGGGUGAGUAACACGUGAGUAACCUGCCCUCUUCUUUGGGAUAACGCCCGGAAACGGGUGCUAAUACUGGAUAUUCACUGAUCUUCGCAUGGGGGUUGGUGGAAAGGUUUGUUCUGGUGGGGGAUGGGCUCGCGGCCUAUCAGCUUGUUGGUGGGGUGAUGGCCUACCAAGGCUUUGACGGGUAGCCGGCCUGAGAGGGUGACCGGUCACAUUGGGACUGAGAUACGGCCCAGACUCCUACGGGAGGCAGCAGUGGGGAAUAUUGCACAAUGGGCGAAAGCCUGAUGCAGCGACGCCGCGUGAGGGAUGGAGGCCUUCGGGUUGUAAACCUCUUUCGCUCAUGGUCAAGCCGCAACUGUGGGUUGUGGUGAGGGUAGUGGGUAAAGAAGCGCCGGCUAACUACGUG